rnacentral:rRNA from 1 species
AGGAAUAUUGGUCAAUGGACGAGAGUCUGAACCAGCCAAGUAGCGUGAAGGAUGAAGGUCCUACGGAUUGUAAACUUCUUUUAUAAGGGAAUAAACCCUCCCACGUGUGGGAGCUUGUAUGUACCUUAUGAAUAAGCAUCGGCUAACUCCGUGCCAGCAGCCGCGGUAAUACGGAGGAUGCGAGCGUUAUCCGGAUUUAUUGGGUUUAAAGGGAGCGCAGACGGGUCGUUAAGUCAGCUGUGAAAGUUUGGGGCUCAACCUUAAAAUUGCAGUUGAUACUGGCGUCCUUGAGUGCGGUUGAGGUGUGCGGAAUUCGUGGUGUAGCGGUGAAAUGCUUAGAUAUCACGAAGAACUCCGAUUGCGAAGGCAGCACACUAAUCCGUAACUGACGUUCAUGCUCGAAAGUGUGGGUAUCAAACAGGAUUAGAUACCCUGGUAGUCCACACGGUAAACGAUGGAUACUCGCUGUUGGCGAUAUACUGUCAGCGGCUUAGCGAAAGCGUUAAGUAUCCCACCUGGGGAGUACGCCGGCAACGGUGAAACUCAAAGGAAUUGACGGGGGCCCGCACAAGCGGAGGAACAUGUGGUUUAAUUCGAUGAUACGCGAGGAACCUUACCCGGGCUUAAAUUGCAGAGGAAUGAUGAGGAAACUGGUCAGUCGCAAGGCGUCUGUGAAGGUGCUGCAUGGUUGUCGUCAGCUCGUGCCGUGAGGUGUCGGCUUAAGUGCCAUAACGAGCGCAACCCUCGCCGCCAGUUACUAACAGUUAAAGCUGAGGACUCUGGCGGGACUGCCAUCGUAAGAUGUGAGGAAGGUGGGGAUGACGUCAAAUCAGCACGGCCCUUACGUCCGGGGCUACACACGUGUUACAAUGGGCGGUACAGAAGGCAGCUACCUGGCGACAGGAUGCCAAUCCCGAAAGCCGCUCUCAGUUCGGACUGGAGUCUGCAACCCGACUCCACGAAGCUGGAUUCGCUAGUAAUCGCGCAUCAGCCACGGCGCGGUGAAUACGUUCCCG